AUGAAUUUAGUUAGCCUAAAUACUUCCAGAAUCCCUCUUGCAAUAUGUAAAAGAAGGAAAAUAGAACAUUGGAGGAAAAGCCAGCAGAGUGGAUUCUUUAAGCUUUCUCAAAUGUUUGAACAAGGAAAAGAUAGUUACAAUCAUUUUUCUCUCGCCUUGUUACAUCUUGAUGUUAAUAGGCUUUGGAAGGUACUAUGCACCCCGUUCAAGGUUUACAGAAUUUGCACGAUCCUAUUACAGUUUGUUCUGAUGACAGAAUUGACUAGUUCUUCCUUGAGGAAAUUAAUAUUUCAGCUGCUACUCCUUUGUGCAUUGUUACAUAGAGUUAUAGUUGUGAAGAUGUGUACGCAUCAACAUAUAAUUCCCACCAUCCUAUUACAGUUUGGUCUGACGACGAAAUCGAGCAGCUCUUACUUGAGUAAAUUGUACAGCUCUUCCUUGAGUAAAUUAGUAUUGCGGUUACUAAGCCUUUGUGCAUUCUGA
rnacentral:rRNA from 1 species